UAAGUAGGGCGUGAAAGCGUGUGGCUCAACCAUAUACACAUGUCCUAAACUACUAAGCUAGAAUAUAGAAGAGGUCGCUGGAAUUCCUUGUGUAGGAGUGAAAUCCGUAGAUAUAAGGAGGAACACCGAUGGCGUAGGCAGGCGACUGGUCUAUUAUUGACACUAAGGCACGAAAGCGUGGGUAGCAAACGGGAUUAGAUACCCCGGUAGUCCACGCCGUAAACUAUGGAUGCUA
rnacentral:rRNA from 1 species